CAGCCGCCGCGGUAAUACAGAGGGUGCGAGCGUUAAUCGGAUUUACUGGGCGUAAAGCGUGCGUAGGCGGCUUCUUAAGUCGGAUGUGAAAUCCCUGAGCUUAACUUAGGAAUUGCAUUCGAUACUGGGAAGCUAGAGUAUGGGAGAGGAUGGUAGAAUUCCAGGUGUAGCGGUGAAAUGCGUAGAGAUCUGGAGGAAUACCGAUGGCGAAGGCAGCCAUCUGGCCUAAUACUGACGCUGAGGUACGAAAGCAUGGGGAGCAAACAGGAUUAGAGACCCCUGUAGUCCCUGUCUCUUAUAA
rnacentral:rRNA from 1 species